AUUGAACGCUGGCGGCAGGCCUAACACAUGCAAGUCGAGCGGAUGAGGAAAGCUUGCUUUUCGAUUCAGCGGCGGACGGGUGAGUAAUGCCUAGGAAUCUGCCUGGUAGUGGGGGAUAACGUUCCGAAAGGAACGCUAAUACCGCAUACGUCCUACGGGAGAAAGCAGGGGACCUUCGGGCCUUGCGCUAUCAGAUGAGCCUAGGUCGGAUUAGCUAGUUGGUGAGGUAAUGGCUCACCAAGGCGACGAUCCGUAACUGGUCUGAGAGGAUGAUCAGUCACACUGGAACUGAGACACGGUCCAGACUCCUACGGGAGGCGGCAGUGGGGAAUAUUGGACAAUGGGCGAAAGCCUGAUCCAGCCAUGCCGCGUGUGUGAAGAAGGUCUUCGGAUUGUAAAGCACUUUAAGUUGGGAGGAAGGGCAUUAGCCUAAUACGUUAGUGUUUUGACGUUACCAACAGAAUAAGCACCGGCUAACUUCGUGCCAGCCGCCACCGUAACAC
rnacentral:rRNA from 1 species